AUUGAACGCUGGCGGCAUGCUUUACACAUGCAAGUCGAACGGCAGCGCGGGCUUCGGCCUGGCGGCGAGUGGCGAACGGGUGAGUAAUUCAUCGGAACGUGCCCAGUAGUGGGGGAUAGCCCGGCGAAAGCCGGAUUAAUACCGCAUACGACCUGAGGGUGAAAGCGGGGGACCGAAAGGCCUCGCGCUAUUGGAGCGGCCGAUGUCGGAUUAGCUAGUUGGUGGGGUAAAGGCUUACCAAGGCGACGAUCCGUAGCUGGUCUGAGAGGACGACCAGCCACACUGGGACUGAGACACGGCCCAGACUCCUACGGGAGGCAGCAGUGGGGAAUUUUGGACAAUGGGGGCAACCCUGAUCCAGCCAUGCCGCGUGCGGGAAGAAGGCCUUCGGGUUGUAAACCGCUUUUGUUCGGGAAGAAAUCCUCUAGGCUAAUACCCCGGGGGGAUGACGGUACCGAAAGAAUAAGCACCGGCUAACUACGUG
rnacentral:rRNA from 1 species